rnacentral:rRNA from 1 species
UCUUCCGCAAUGGACGAAAGUCCGACGGAGCAACGCCGCGUGAGUGAUGAAGGUUUUUGGCUCGUAAAACUCUGUGGUUAGGGAAGAACAAGUACCGUUCGAAUAGGGCGGUAUCUUGACGGUACCUAACCAGAAAGCCACGGCUAAAUACGUGCCAGCAGCCGCGGUAAUACGUAGGUGGCAAGCGUUGGCCGGAAUUAUUGGGCGUAAAGCGCGCGCAGGCGGUUUCUUAAGUCUGAUGUGAAAGCCCCCGGCUCAACCGGGGAGGGUCAUUGGAAACUGGGGAACUUGAGUGCAGAAGAGGAGAGUGGAAUUCCACGUUUAGCGGUGAAAUGCGUAGAGAUGUGGAGGAACACCAGUGGCGAAGGCGACUCUCUGGUCUGUAACUGACGCUGAGGCGCGAAAGCGUGGGGAGCGAACAG